rnacentral:lncRNA from 1 species
UAGAUUUAUUAGCAUCCAUAUAAAUAUAGUUAAGUAUUAUAUUAUAAAAGGAAGGUAGUUUCGUAAGCGUAAGUGUAAAGAAAAAUAGGGUACCUAAAUGACCACACGUCCGCAAUCACUAUUGUGUUGCUACCUCCUCCAACAAACUUAAGGACAGCUACAAUGUGUAUAAGAAUGGCCCAUAAGCCCUUAUGGCUAGCAAUACAUUGUGAACAUUGGCCAUAAGAUAAUAAUUAUAAAAAUUAGCCUUAAGCUUAGAGCUUGAACUUAAGAAAUAAAAUAACAGAGUAAACACAUGCGUCUGAUAGCUAGUUUAUUCGCCAGAGGUAAAAGUAUGAUUUCCUGCAUUGAUGUGGGACUCAUCCUAACAUCUUUUGAUAAUUAUAAAAUUUUGUUAAUUUGCUAGUUUAACCAUUGUGUUAAUGACAAUAGGUAUUGUGGGGCAUAUCUUAUUUUCACCAAGUUUUUAGGCAUUGUUGAUGCCAUAAAAGUCUAAAAGAAAAGGCUCGUAAAGGUAAUUAGCUGAGGUUGUGCACUCGCAGGCCCAUGUUAUUGAUCUUCUGAUCCCAACUAGAAAGGCCGCACGGCUUUGCCGUGCCCCUCACGGUGCGGUGGGGCGGCGGCGACCCAGCAGCAGGCGGCCGCCGCGGCGGUUCU